CCGGCACGGGUGAGUAACACGUAUGCAAUCCACCUGUAACAGGGGGAUAACCCGGAGAAAUCCGGACUAAUACCCCAUAAUAUGGGCGCUCCGCAUGGAGAGCCCAUUAAAGAGAGCAAUUUUGGUUACAGACGAGCAUGCGCUCCAUUAGCCAGUUGGCGGGGUAACGGCCCACCAAAGCGACGAUGGAUAGGGGUUCUGAGAGGAGGGUCCCCCACAUUGGAACUGAGACACGGUCCAA
rnacentral:rRNA from 1 species